AGGCUGAACCUAUGGGGUGGGGGAAACGUUCGGAACGGACGCUAAUACCGCAUACGUCCUACGGGAGAAAGCAGGGGACCUUCGGGCCUUGCGCUAUCAGAUGAGCCUAGGUCGGAUUAGCUAGUUGGUGAGGUAAUGGCUCACCAAGGCUACGAUCCGUAACUGGUCUGAGAGGAUGAUCAGUCACACUGGAACUGAGACACGGUCCAGACUCCUACGGGAGGCAGCAGUGGGGAAUAUUGGACAAUGGGCGAAAGCCUGAUCCAGCCAUGCCGCGUGUGUGAAGAAGGUCUUCGGAUUGUAAAGCACUUUAAGUUGGGAGGAAGGGCAUUAACCUAAUACGUUAGUGUUUUGACGUUACCGACAGAAUAAGCACCGGCUAACUCUGUGCCAGCAGCCGCGGUAAUACAGAGGGUGCAAGCGUUAAUCGGAAUUACUGGGCGUAAAGCGCGCGUAGGUGGUUUGUUAAGUUGAAUGUGAAAUCCCCGGGCUCAACCUGGGAACUGCAUCCAAAACUGGCAAGCUAGAGUAUGGUAGAGGGUAGUGGAAUUUCCUGUGUAGCGGUGAAAUGCGUAGAUAUAGGAAGGAACACCAGUGGCGAAGGCGACUACCUGGACUGAUACUGACACUGAGGUGCGAAAGCGUGGGGAGCAAACAGGAUUAGAUACCCUGGGUAGUCCACGCCGUAAACGAUGUCAACUAGCCGUUGGGAGUCUUGAACUCUUAGUGGCGCAGCUAACGCAUUAAGUUGACCGCCUGGGGAGUACGGCCGCAAGGUUAAAACUCAAAUGAAUUGACGGGGGCCCGCACAAGCGGUGGAGCAUGUGGUUUAAUUUCGAAGCAACCGCGAAGACCUUACCAAGGCCUUGACAUCCAAUGGAGCCUUUCUUAGAGAUAAGAUUGGUGCCUUUCGGGAACAUAUUGUAGAAACAAGGUGCUGCAUGGCCUGUCGUCAGCCUCCGUGUCGUGAAGAUUGUUGGGGUUAAGUCCGUAACGAGGCGCAACCUUGUCCCUUAGUUACAGCAACGUUAAUGGGUGGGCACCUCUAGGAGAACUGCCGGUGAAUAAACCGGAGAUGUGGGGUAUGAACGGUCAAGUUCUAUCUAUGGGCCCAUUACGGCCUUGGCUACACCAGUCUACAAUGUACCGGUUACAUACGGGUGUUGCGACAGACG
rnacentral:rRNA from 1 species